rnacentral:rRNA from 1 species
UACGUAGGGAGCAAGCGUUGUUCGGAUUUACUGGGCGUAAAGGGCGCGUAGGCGGCGUGUCAAGUCACUUGUGAAAUCUCCGGGCUUAACUCGGAACGGUCAAGUGAUACUGUCAUGCUAGAGUGCAGAAAGGGCAAUCGGAAUUCUUGGUGUAGCGGUGAAUGCGUAGAUAUCAAGAGGAACACCUGAGGCGAAGGCGGGUCGCUAGGCUGACACUGACGCUCAAGCGCGAAGCCAGGGGAGCAAACGGG